UCUGCAUUUUCUGAACAACAUGGUCUAGGACAAGGGUGACUCCCCAAAGAACAAUCUGGAUGUGGCUACCAGAAGAAAGAAGAGUGGAUAUCGGGCAGCAAAAUAAUAGAUACACACAACUGGGUCCUGCGACUAAAGAGACAGAGUGAGUGAGAGAGAGAGAGGAUGAGCUGGGGCAGAGGGAGAGGGAGAAGCAGACUCCCUGCUGAGUGGGGAGCCUGACAUGGUGCUGGAUCCCAGGACCGGGAGAUCAUGACCUGAGCCAAAGGCAGACGCGUAAGGGACUGAGCCACCCAGGUGCCCCUGGAUGUGUAUGCUUUGACAAAGACAAGCCAAUAACACAAAGCACCUGAAUACAAUUGACGAAGCAGAGCAUGCUGCCAGCAUGGCCGCCACUCCUUCCUUCUAGAGACAACUUCCUUCCUUCCUGAGGAGACAACGGCUGUACACCAGACACAGUGUCAGGACUUGUGAGAAACAUCCAAAAAAAUUCAGUGUUGGUCCCGAAAGAGUUCCCAGAUGGUUCUUCAGGCUGGGAAGCCCAAGGUCAAGGCACCAGAAGAUCUGAUGUCUGACUUGCAGACUUUGGCCCUUGGUUUCUUUCUUUUUAAUUUCAAUUAUCCCACACUGAAGUUGGCAGAAAAACCAAGUCCAUGGCUUCUAAACACAGAUAAAGUGCCGUAGAGUAAAUAACACACAAUGAGAACACCCCGCAAUUUACUGCUAAAAUCCAGGGUUAGCCUGUGAAAGCUCGUGUCGGCUCCAGGAUGACGCUCUCCUGAAGAGUUGCUUAGCUCUGUGUGUUCAAGAGUCUGAAAGGAGCUGUUAACUGGAUUUGUCAGAGGGAAGAUUUUUCUACCAAUUUGCCUUUGGCAAUGAUGGCGGCUGCACUCCUGGCCGCUCUGUCUGUGAUUUCCCAAAGUAGAAAGUCACCAUUUUCUAGCCUCUUCUCUGUGGAGUGAGGAAUGAGUCUCCUCUGGCCACCACAGAGAGCUGCGAAGGACAGAGAGAACGGCUGUCCUCUCGGUGCCUCAGUAACCAGUGCCAGGCUCUUCCCUGUGGGAGAGGCUCAGCAGCCAUUGCUACACCUACAGAGGGGCUGAACACUUACCUGGUAUCUAAGAUCAUCGGCCGUAAAGAAGAUCUGAAAGAUGGCUGUUACGAGGCUGAAUUAUGUCCCCUCACCCUUCUCCCAAUAUUCCUGUGUUGAAGUCCUAACCCCCAGUACCUUGGAAUGUGACCUUACAUGGAGAUAAGGUCUUUACAGAGGUAAUUGAGUUAGAGUGAGGCCACUGGAACAAGCCCUAACCCAGUAUGAUUGGUGUCCUUAUCAAGAGGAAAGUUUGAGCACAGAGACAUGCAUAGAAGGCAGAAGACAUGAAGACACACAGGGAGAAGACAUCCAUCCACAAGCCACAGAGAGAGGCCUGGAAUGCACCCUUCCCUUGCAGCCCUCAGAGUCAACCAACCCAGCUAACACCUUGAUUUCAGACUUCCAGCUUCCAAAACUGUGAGGAAAUCAAUUCCCGUUGUUUGAGGGGCCCGUCUGUGGUACAUUGUUACAGCUGCCCUAACCAACUAAUUCAACCGCUGCAUAAAAGAUCGCCUAAUAGAACUCUCUUGAUUCUAGCUAAAGGGGAGCCAGUAGGAUAGAAAAAUGAGCUGACGCACAAUCUGUCAACAUCCCUGAUGCCCAACUCAGUGUGCCUUCACCUGUAAGCAACUCCACUAUGAGGAGGCCACGGGCGGUCACUUCUAAUGGAGCAGAGGUAAUACUGAAGGACCCACGUUCACUCAACACCUCUGCACCAUGAUGGGGGUUGAGUGGGGCAGUCCCGAGUCUCAUCUACAAGGUGGAUCCUCUGGGCUCUCAGCACUUCAUUCACCAUCACAUGGCGAGGCACCAAUAGUUGAAGCCCUUUGGUGUGAAUCUCGGUAUGAUGGAGCUAUGGGGGAGGCUUUAAAAAAUCAACGCGGGUAUGGUUGAUUUUCACACUCCUAUUUCAGAUGCCUCAACUCUAGGGCCAAGGACCAAGCUUCGAUUAGCAUAAUGUGAGCAAUCUCGUUUCAUCCUUCCCAACUCUGUGCGGGAAGCUGUAGGGGCAUUAGCUUGUUCCAGAUACCUUGAGGAUGAAGGGUCCAAGAGGAAAAGCUUCCUGAUGGUGUCCAAAUUUCCCAACUAACACGUGUCUGUAUGGUGGGCAGCUAAGAGGUCUAGAAGAAGUCAAGCACCUAACACAAUCCCAAGGCAAAUAAGAAUAGCACCUUUGUGUGUCUGCGGCUUUGCCAUGUGCCGUAUGCAGUAGAUUUUUUCCUCUAAUUCAUUAGGAAGAAAUUUCUUAGGAGUGACAUACUUUAACUGGGAAGCAAGAGAAGUUUUCAUGUGACUGCCAUCUACCUCUUUGUAGAACAGAAAUCUUCAGCUGGGAUUUGAAUUCAGGCUAUACACAAUUCAAGGUUAGAAUUCAGGGAGCUCAUGAAAUCAGAUAAGGAAAAAAGUCCCAUCUUUAUUAUCCCUAACUUCUAACUAACAUUUAGCAUUUUCUUCUAUUUUAUAUGGAAAUAAACCAGUUGUAUUAGCAAUA